AGUCCUACGAGAGGCAGCAGAAUGGUCGAAAUCCUACCUGAGCAAUGGCGCGUGAGUGAAGAAGGCUGUAGGCACGUAAACCUCCGGUUUCUUGGAUGAGCGGAACGGCAGUCCCUGUGGUAUAAGCAUCGGCUAGCUACGACCCAUCAUUUGACGAUAAUACAGAGGAUACAACCGGUAUCCGGAAUGAUACGCGUAAAGCGUCCACAGAAUGCAAUUUAAGUCUAUUGUUAAAUGCCAUGGCGGAACCCCGGAGGGGCAAUGGAAACUGAUCUGCUCGAUUGCUAUAGGGGCAUAGGAGGUCCCAUUGGAGCGGUAUUGAAGGUUGAGUUUGGGAAAAGGAUCUGUGGCGAAAGCUUUCUUUUAGCACGCAACGAACGCUAGGGGACGGAAGCUAGUCGAGCGAAUUCGAUUUUUUCCCCUAUAGUCCUACCCGUAAACAUCGGAUAGAAGGCUCUUUUUGGAUCGUCUCCUGCCCAGUCCCGGAAAAACACAAUAAUUUGUCCGGGAGGAAAGCGAGCCAGUCGCCC
rnacentral:rRNA from 1 species